CCCUUAGAUGUUCUGGGCCGCACGCGUGCUACACUGAUGCAUUCAACGAGUCUAAAACCUGGUCUGAUAGGGCUGGGUAAUCUUUUGAAAGUGCAUCGUGAUUGGGAUAGAUGAUUGCAAUUCUUCAUCUUCAACGAGGAAUGCCUAGUAAACGCAAGUCAUCAGCUUGCAUUGAUUACGUCCCUGCCCUUUGUACACACCGCCCGUCACUCCUACCGAUUGAAUGAUCCGAUGAAUACCAUGGAUUGAGAGUACGAAUAGGUUCGCUUAUUUCUGCUGCUCGAGAAGUGGAGUAAAUCUUAUCAUUUAGAGGAAGGAGAAGUCGUAACA
rnacentral:rRNA from 1 species